rnacentral:rRNA from 1 species
CCUACGGGAGGCUGCAGUGGGGGAUAUUGCACAAUGGGGGAAACCCUGAUGCAGCGAUGCCGCGUGAAUGAAGACGGCCUUCGGGUUGUAAAGUUCUGUCGCAGGGGACGAAAAUGACGGUACCCUGCAAGAAAGCUCCGGCUAACUACGUGCCAGCAGCCGCGGUAAUACGUAGGAUGCGAGCGUUAUCCGGAUUUAUUGGGUUUAAAGGGUGCGUAGACGGCAGGGCAAGUCUGGAGUGAAAGCCCGGGGCCCAACCCCGGGACUGCUUUGGAAACUGCCAUGCUAGAGUGCUGGAGAGGUAAGCGGAAUUCCUAGUGUAGCGGUGAAAUGCGUAGAUAUUAGGAGGAACACCAGUGGCGAAGGCGGCUUACUGGACAGUAACUGACGUUGAGGCUCGAAAGCGUGGGGAGCAAACAGGAUUAGAUACCCUUGUAGUC